ACUAAAAAUACAAAAUUAGCCGGGUGUGGUGGCUCAUGCCUGUAAUCCCAGCACUUUGGGAGGCCAAGGCAGGUGGAUCACCUGAGUUUGGGAGUUCGAGACCAGCCUGACCAACAUGGAGAAACCCCGUCUCUACUAAAAAUACAAAAUUAGCCGGGUGUGGUGGCUCAUGCCUGUAAUCCUAGCUAUUCAGGAGGCUGAGGCAGGAGAAUUGCUUUUACCCAGGAGACAGAGGUUUCAGCGAGCCGAGAUUGCACCAUUGCACUCCAGCCUGGAUAGCAAAAGCGAAACUCCGUCUCAAAAAAAAAAAAAAAGGGCGUGCUUUCCUCAUUACAGUCAGUUGUAGGUUAUGGUCAGCCAAAGACCAUGCACUUGUAAUCGGGGUUUAUGUGUUUUUGCAUUUUCCAAGUUUCCUGUUUUUGAGGGUUUGUCUGUGGCUCCAAAGUUCUUUUGCUUAUUCAUUUAUUCAGAAAUAUUUACUGAAUGCCUACCAUGUGGUAGGCAUUCUUCUAGGUGUUAGGACGUGUAACAGUGAGCAGAACGAAAUGUCGAAACGCAUAGAGCAAAUAUUCUAAUAGUUAAAAAAAUAGAUAAUGUAUCAGUAAGAGUCCAAUUAGAAUGUCAGAAACUACCUUAGAUGUAGAAGGAAUUGGUCUCACAUGUGUUAGAAGGGCUGGGAAAACAAAAGGUAAUAGGAGGGGUGCUGGGAGAACAAAUAGGAAGAAAAGGGAAAACCCAGAAAUAGUAAUUGUUAGUACCCCUGCUACUUGACUGUUGAAAAUGCUGUAAAAGUUUGUUCUGAAUUAGGAGAAAAGGCGCUCCCUCAACCAGGCUGAAACUACCACCAGUGUUGUUGCCAGAAACCUGGAGCAGGAAGGAGCUGCUUCUCCCUUCCGCCUUCCAGUCACCCACCAUUAAUACCUGCUAUUGGCAAGGCCCAUCUGGAUGGCAGAUGGCAAAGCAGCCUGGAAAGUGGAGUUUACCAACUUCUACCUCCUACAGUAUAUAGUGGAGCACAGCAAAGUGGAAAAGGAGGCCGGGCGCGGUGGCUCACACCUGUAAUCCCAGCAAUUUGGGAGGCCGAGGUGGGCAGAUGACCUGAGGCCAGGAGUUCAAGACCAGCCUGGUCCAACAUGGUGAAACCCUGUGUCUACUAAAAAUACAAAAAUUAGCUGAACGUGGUGGUGGGUGCCUGUAAUCCCAGCUACUCUGGAGGCUGAGGCAGGAGAAUUGCUUGAACCCGGGAGUUGGAGGUUGCAGUGAGCCAAGGUCACGCCACUGCACUCCAGCCUGGGCAACAGAGCAAGACUCCAUCUCAAAAAAAAAGAAAAAGGAAAAUAACAUGGCCAAAUACACUGCUAAUUACCAUGAAGAAGAAUACAGCAGAGUAGGAGGAUAAAGAAUAAAGACAGGGGUGAGGGGAGCUACUCUAGUGAGAGUCAGAAGAGGCCACUUGGCAGAAGGAACAUUUGAGCAGAGACUUAAGAGAAGUGAAGGCAUAAGUGACAUGAAAGCAUUCCAGGCAGAGGAAACAGCAAAUGCUGAGGGCCUGAGACAGGCAGAGAACUGCAAGGACACCACGGUUGGAGCUCAGGCAGCAGGGUACAGUGGUGGGAGAUAAGGACUGGUGGCUGAGGAGCCCUGGGACUUUGUAGCCCAUGAUAAGGACUUUAGACUUAUGGGAGGGGGAGGAGAAAAGUGGAAAACAGGGAGAUGAGGAAGGAGUCUUAUCACAGUGGCUUGAAUAAUGUGUUAAUCUUUACAGCGUCCAAGAGCAAUGUAAAAUGUAGGGGCAGUAAAAGAUAAACAGAAAAACUAAGGGGAAAAAAAUUCUAAAACUUCUUCAGAAAAAUUCUGGAGCGGAGAGCAUGUGUGGAGCAUGCAUGCAUGUCCAUGCUAUAACUUCAUCUACAGAGAAACAAACAGUUUCAUCUAAGGAUUAACUAAGUAUGUACUUCGUUUUUACUUCCUUCCUCCCCUAACCGCACAGUCUUGAACUUGCAAGUUUACUUUUAAGGAACCUUGGUUAGACUGGAAAUAAAACUUUAUUCUGUGUCUACUAUUGCAAGGCACAGUAUUAGACA
rnacentral:lncRNA from 10 species